rnacentral:rRNA from 1 species
GAUGAACGCUGGCAGUAUGCUUUACACAUGCAAGUCGUACGGGAGUUUUAACUCAAGUGGCGGACGGGUGAGUAACACGUAAGAAUUUACCUUUAGGAGGGGAUAACAACUGGAAACGGUUGCUAAUACCCCAUAUGCUUUCGAGUGAAAUGGAAUUUUCCGCCUAGAGAGAAGCUUGCGGCUGAUUAGCUUGUUGGUGUGGUAAUGGCUCACCAAGGCGACGAUCAGUAUCUGGUUUGAGAGGACGAUCAGACACACUGGAACUGAGACACGGUCCAGACUCCUACGGGAGGCAGCAGUGGGGAAUUUUCCGCAAUGGGCGAAAGCCUGACGGAGCAAUACUGCGUGAGGGAUGACGGGCCUAUGGGUUGUAAACCCUUUUUUCAGGUAGGAAUAAUGACGUGUACCUGAAGAAUAAGCAUCGGCU